GAUGAACGCUGGCGGCGUGCCUAAUACAUGCAAGUCGAGCGAACGGACGAGAAGCUUGCUUCCCUGAUGUUAGCGGCGGACGGGUGAGUAACACGUGCAUAACCUACCUAUAAGACUGGGAUAAACUCGGGAAACCGGAGCUAAUACUGGAUCAUAUUCUGAACCGCAUGGUUCAAAAGUGAAAGACGGUCUUGCUGUCACUUAUAGAUGGAUCCGCGCUGCAUUAGCUAGUUGGUAAGGUAACGGCUUACCAAGGCGACGAUGCAUAGCCGACCUGAGAGGGUAAUCAGCCACACUGGGACUGAGACACGGGCCCAGCUCCUACGGGAGGCAACAGUUGGGAAUCUUCCGCAAUGGGCGAAAACCUGACGGAACAACGCCGCGUGGGUGAUGAAGGUCUUCGGGUCUUAAAACUCUGUUAUUAGGGAAAGACAGAUGUGUAGGUAACAGUGCACAUCUUGACGGUACCUGAACAGAAAGCCACGGCUAACUACGUG
rnacentral:rRNA from 1 species